rnacentral:rRNA from 1 species
UACGUAGGGUGCAAGCGUUGUCCGGAAUUAUUGGGCGUAAAGAGCUCGUAGGCGGUUUGUCGCGUCGGCUGUGAAAACCCGGGGCUCAACCCCGGGCCUGCAGUCGAUACGGGCAAACUAGAGUGCGGUAGGGGAGACUGGAAUUCCUGGUGUAGCGGUGAAAUGCGCAGAUAUCAGGAGGAACGCCGGUGGCGAAGGCGGGUCUCUGGGCCGUAACUGACGCUGAGGAGCGAAAGCGUGGGGAGCGAACAGG